rnacentral:rRNA from 1 species
UACGUAGGGUGCAAGCGUUGUCCGGAAUUAUUGGGCGUAAAGAGCUCGUAGGCGGUCUGUCGCGUCUGCUGUGAAAAUCCAGGGCUCAACCCUGGACCUGCAGUGGGUACGGGCAGACUAGAGUGUGGUAGGGGAGACUGGAAUUCCUGGUGUAGCGGUGAAAUGCGCAGAUAUCAGGAGGAACACCGAUGGCGAAGGCAGGUCUCUGGGCCAUAACUGACGCUGAGAAGCGAAAGCAUGGGGAGCGAACAGG